GAAACAGAAAAUUACAGUCCGUUGAUAUAUUUGUUAAAUUUUAUUCAAAAAAUAUUGCAAUAUAUCUUAAAGCAUGCCCUUUUUUGAAGAGCAACAUUACAGUCCGUUGAGAUAUUUGUGAAUAUUUGCAUAUUUUCUAAAUUUUCCAGAAAUAUUGCAAUAUUUCUUAAAUUUCAGUCCGUAUUUGUAUAUUGCAAUGCCAAUUCCAAAUCCAUUUCCAACUCCAUUUUCAUUUCCAUCUCCAUUCUUCUCAUUAAUCCGAUAAAUCCGAAAAAUUCAAAAUAUUAAAAGUAAUCUCGACAUGUAAAUUGCCGUGUGUGUGUGUGUGUCGUUGGUGUGUGCGUGUGUGUGUGUGUGUGGGUUGUGUGCUGGUGUGGGUGUUGGUUCCACAGUUUGUGGCGCCACUUCUUGUUGCAAUUCUUCUGCCCACUGAAGAUUUCCCUGAAGAAUUCGUGCUGCGAGGAAUCGUUAGUGAACGUGUUGAGGACUGCGAUCAAUCAAGUUUGCAUUUCCCGCGAGUAUGGCCGACUAUAUACAUACCCUGUAUAUAUAUAUAAAAACAUAGAUAAGAUGCGUGAGCGUCGUCUAUAUGUAUUGAAAAAAAAAACGCUUGUGUUGGAAAAACUUUGCUGAGCGGGACGAAAACAAAUGUGUGGCACUGUAAACCGAAAAAUGGAGGGAAAACUUUGGCAUUGUUUUGAUGCCACACACGAGAAGAAACGAGAAGAAGCGUCUACAUACUUUUAUCGUACGCGUGUGGCAACACAUCAAUGCGAGAGAGACAGACAGACCGAAGCAGAUAGAGAGAGCGUGUGUGCGCUUGCCUCUCUCGCUCUCUUUCGGCAUAUCGAAACAUAUCGUUGCGUCUCGCUCGGCAAGUGCUUUGCAAUGUGAGCGGCGAGACAAGGACGGCCAUACUCACAGCCCGAAAUGCAGCAGUAGAACAAACCAUUGCCAAUUAAAGCAGUGCAGCAAGCAGUGCACGAAUCAAAGCGCCAUAACAACACCAUUUUAAGUAUAACCGAAUAACUGACACGCUUUACAGUGUGUAUCAAAAGUAUUGGAUCGAGUUGAGGACUCGUCACACAUUCCUCGCUGUUACAGACUCGGAACUCACUGCACCAACCACCCACCCCCCAUCCACCGCCCACUCACCCCACCCCCCCGGCUCCGUAACAUGUCGGUGGUUACUGGCAUAAAUCCCGAGUACGACUCAAGUAAAAUUAGUAACUAUAUAUGAAAAUAUAUAUCCUUAUUGUGGGCCACAAAUGUCCGCUAACUGUUCAAAUUGACAAAUGUGAAAUACCUAUAAAAAAAAGCCAAAGUUUCAUCGUAAUUCACCCAUGAAUUCACUCAUGAAGUCGCACAUAAAUGAAAUACCUAAGAAAAAAAAAACAAAACAAAGUGUCAUCGUAAUUCACUCAUGAAGUCACCCAUGAAUUCACUCCUGAGUUCACCCAUGAAGUCACACAUGAAUAUUCACCCAUGAAUUCCCUCAUCCGCAUCCGCAUCCGCAUUUGGCAUCGUUCAAUCCAAAUACUUUUAGUAUAUUAACACUGUCCGUACAAAUUCCGUUUUAAAGAAUUCCUUCCAGGGAUUUUAUUUUUCAACUGAAAGUUUUCCCAGUUUUAUUUCAUUUUACUUUCGGCCGUGUCGCUGGUCGACUGUCAACUUUGUAGAACCUCGAAGAGCCAAAAAAAAACGAGAAGAAUCCAAGACUGAAACUGUAGAAAUCAGAAACUUAAGGAAAAGCAAAAUAUUGUCAAGAAAAGAAAAAAUCACUGAAAGAAAGAAAAUGUCAAAAUAAAAAAAAUCAAAAGGCUAAGCGAAGAAAUCACAUAAUUUAUAGAACAAAAUUUCUUAAAUAAGUUCGAAAUAAAAUUUGCCUAAAGAAAAAAACAGAAAACUAAACGAAAAUAUUACACACUUAAUACAAAAAAAAUUGCACUAAGAAAAAGAAAUCAGAUAGCUAAAAGAACACAAUAUUUGCUGUCUUGUCAAGAAUAUGAAACUUUAAAGAAAAAAAAUAUGAUACAAAAAAGAAACAAAACUCUAAAAAGAAAAAAAAUAGCUAAAGAAAUUAAAAGCUUAAAGUAAGAAAUAAACACUGCCUACAGUCUAAAAAUCAGAAAAAAAUAAGAAAAAAUGCCACAAUUUAAAACAAAAAACAAAAAGGAAAUAAAAAUAUCAUAGAAAAAAAUAAUUCAAAAACCUAAAUACAUAAAAAUUUGAGUGUCUGGACUAUAGAAAUCAGAAAUAUAAAGAAAGAAAAUGCCACUGCCCUGAAAUAUGUACAAACUAUAUAAGUUUUGAAAUCAAAUACCUAAAUAAAUGAAGAAAUGAUAUAGAAACAAAAAAAAAACAAAGGAAAAUGUCACACAGGAAUCGAAAACAGUAACAUAAAAGGAAGAAAAGUUCACAGGAAAAUAUAAAAAGCAAGCGUAUAACAAAUACUUUUUCAUGAAAAUAAAAAAAGAAUAAAAUAUAUAUAAUUUGGAGAACAGUACUACAAUAAAGAGCAUCGAAGGAAAGAAUAAAAUACUUAAAAAUCAAUGACAGGAAAAUAAUAAUCCCGAACCUAAAAAAAUAUGGCAAAGAAAAUAAAAAAAAUUCAAUAAGAAAAAAUUACAGAAGUUAUAAGAAGAGAAGAAAAUAGAAAACAACAAACUCAAACUUAUUGUGGUACUUGAGAGAGAGAGAUAGGGAGAGAGUGAGAGAGUUUAUCCCGCAGAAUAAAAAACAGUUUCCAUUUCCAUUCAAUCACAAAACACACAAAAAAUCUAUUUAUUGGACUCAAUUAUUGGCAUUAAAAAUGCAUUGCAUUUUUGUUCAAAACGCUUUGAAAUCGCUAACAAAUUGUGUGAUUUUUCCAAAAUUUUAUAUUUAUUUUAUUAUCAAACACGAUCUAACCACAAAUUGCUUUCAGUGUAGAGCUGAAAUCUGAAGUAAAAAUGUCUUUUAAAUUAGCUGCAAUGCGGUGAGUUUUCAACUUAAAUAUUGAAACGUUUCGUUGAUUGACACAGAGAAUUAUCAAGUCGUUUUUGGGAUAAACAAUAAAAUAUAAAUAAAUAAAUGGUUAACUGUUUUACGUGAUGUGUGCACUUGUUGCAAAAGAAAAGAAUACAAAAAAAAAAAAAUAUAUAUAUCAUGAAAAUGACAAGAAAUUGUUUUCGAAAACGUUUUUAAAAACGUUUCGUAAACGCUGUGCGAAUAUUUUUAAAUUAUGAGCAAAAAAAAAAAAAAGAAAUAAAAAGAAAAAAAAUAUGCAAACCUGUUGCUCGACAAACGUUUUUGCCGUGCAAUUGGUUUGCUCAAUGGCAAAAAAAAUACAAUGCUUAUGAUUAUAAAAAUGAGAAAUUAUAAUACAAAUAUUGCAUAAAUGUGCACAUCACGUGACAGUUGAAAAUCGCGGUGAAUUCAUCAAUGAAAACGGUUUCAAGAACGUCUGCAAUUCUCUGUGCGCUCAGCGAUUCGAUUUCUUAUAUAUAGAGUGUGUUUAAUGAGUUGUUAGCCAAGUUAUGUGCAAGUUUAUUAACCGAUUUCUAUGCUGGGUCUUCUUUCAGAUUCAAUUCAGUAAAAAAAAUGCCGAAACUUGGAAUCACUUGGAACCAAAGUUUUUAGUUUUUCGCAUUCCACUUUUUUGUUUGUCGCUCAAAAUAUGCAAAAGCAACGAUUUCAAAGCGAUUCCGAAUCUCCAAAUUGACUAACAAACUACAUACAUACAUAUUUAUGUGUCCGUUCAUUUUUGUUCUCCCCAUUUAAUCACAGUCAGCAUUUAAUUUUUCUACUGGGAAUAUAUAAAUUCUGCUUUUUUCCGUUGAAGUUUUCUCUUUCUCUCUGUGCCGCAAAAGUUGAGAAAAGCCAACAAAACUAAUUUAAAAAUCAUGCGCAAAAAAAUCACAUAUUGAAAAUUUUGAAGUAGUUAGAAGACUCUACGAAAAAACCUAUUUAAGUGAGAAUCGUUUAAGAUUUUACUCUCUUUUCAGUCAAGAAGCGUUUUGGAGAUUUCAGCAGCUGCUAAAUAAUUAUAUUUUCUUUUUACAGAUCAGUGGAGAACAUAUUUGAAAUGUUUAAAAUUAACACAUCCGUUUUGUUCCGUUCUGUUCAAAUUCCUGAACUUAUUUGUACUUAAAACAAAUUUCAAAAUUUAUUCAGUUGUACCCACUGCCACGCCUCCUCUCCUAACACAACAACGCCUCCCACACUCCGUCUUUUUUGGGUUCCAAAACUCACCAUAAAACUCUCAAAAA